ACGUAGGGUGCAAGCGUUAAUCGGAAUUACUGGGCGUAAAGCGUGCGCAGGCGGUUCGGAAAGAAAGAUGUGAAAUCCCAGGGCUCAACCUUGGAACGGCAUUUUUAACUCCCGAGCUAGAGUAUGUCAGAGGGGGGUAGAAUUCCACGUGUAGCAGUGAAAUGCGUAGAGAUGUGGAGGAAUACCGAUGGCGAAGGCAGCCCCCUGGGACAAUACUGACGCUCAGGCACGAAAGCGUGGGGAGCAAACAGGA
rnacentral:rRNA from 1 species